AGACCCGAAACCCGGUGAUCUAGCCAUGGGCAGGUUGAAGGUUGGGUAACACUAACUGGAGGACCGAACCGACUAAUGUUGAAAAAUUAGCGGAUGACCUGUGGCUGGGGGUGAAAGGCCAAUCAAACCGGGAGAUAGCUGGUUCUCCCCGAAAGCUAUUUAGGUAGCGCCUCGUGAAUUCAUCUCCGGGGGUAGAGCACUGUUUCGGCUAGGGGGCCAUCCCGGCUUACCAACCCGAUGCAAACUGCGAAUACCGGAGAAUGUUAUCACGGGAGACACACGGCGGGUGCUAACGUCCGUCGUGAAGAGGGAAACAACCCAGACCGCCAGCUAAGGUCCCAAAGUCAUGGUUAAGUGGGAAACGAUGUGGGAAGGCCCAGACAGCCAGGAUGUUGGCUUAGAAGCAGCCAUCAUUUAAAGAAAGCGUAAUAGCUCACUGGUCGAGUCGGCCUGCGCGGAAGAUGUAACGGGGCUAAACCAUGCACCGAAGCUGCGGCAGCGACACUGUGUGUUGUUGGGUAGGGGAGCGUUCUGUAAGCCUGUGAAGGUGUGUCGUGAGGCAUGCUGGAGGUAUCAGAAGUGCGAAUGCUGACAUAAGUAACGAUAAAGCGGGUGAAAAGCCCGCUCGCCGGAAGACCAAGGGUUCCUGUCCAACGUUAAUCGGGGCAGGGUGAGUCGACCCCUAAGGCGAGGCCGAAAGGCGUAGUCGAUGGGAAACGGGUUAAUAUUCCC
rnacentral:rRNA from 1 species